AGAUGCUCCAGUGCUCUCUAUAAUUUGCUUCCCCAGUGCUUUUACCAGUCAAAGCUUGAACAGCCCAGGUUUACACAAAGGCAGAAGCCAGCCCAGUGCUACAAGAAGCAGCAUGCCCAGCACUGCCGAUUGAUAGUGCUUUGCUGGUGGAAAAGCCAAUGCCGUGAGGCUGGAAAAGGGACACUUCAAUUUAAAAAAUGUAUUAAAAAAUAAAUAAAUGCUGAUCUCUUUCCAGCACAUCAGCUGAUGCAGAAUCACAGCAGUGGCCUAAAAAAGACACCUGGGUUUUGAAACGGAAAUAAAUAAUGGCCGGGUCAUUCAAUGCACCUGUCCAGCCAAGGGUGUCUCCCUGCCCCUUCAGACAGCACCAAGGAACAGUGUGACCUUCCCAAGCCUUCACCAGAGCAGCACCACCUGACCUGAGGGACAAAGGCUGAGAGCAUUUCACUGCUGGAGUGAGCGUGGAUCUGCCUUUGCAAAGAGGAGAAGCAGAAGCCUGUCACAGUCACAGCAGCUCAGGGGACAGGUGGGAUCUCUCAAAGGUUUGCCACAGAACCCAGGGCUUCACAGCAGCUGUCCCUUGCUGCCACCACACCAGUUACAGACUGCAUGGCACAGCAGAGGGGGAGACACUUGCCAAAAUACCAUUAAAGCAGGAAAAGAUCUCUAAGAUCGUUAAGUUCAACCAUUAGCCUAACACUGUCAGUUCUACCACUAUAUGUGUCCCUAAGUGCCACAUCCAUGCUUUUUUAAUGCUUCCAGGGACAGUGAUUUCACCCCUUCUUUGAGCAGCCAGUUCCAGUGCAUGACCACCCUGUCAGUGAAGAAAUUGUUCCUAAUAUCCAAUCUAAACCUCCCAUGGUGCAGCUUGAGGCCUUGUCCUCUUGACCUGUUGCUUGUUACCUGUUGCUUGUUACCUUGGAGAAGGUAACACUGACACUGACCCCCACCAAUCUACAACUUACUUUCAGGCAGUCAUAGAAAGCAAUAUUCAGCAGCUCAAAGAGCUUUAUGCUUUAUCACCUUGAAGGCAUUAAAUAAAUAAACAUAAAAAUAGCACAGCUUGCACUGCAGCAGAGUAUAAGCAGGUAUUUAUAGAAGGAAGCCCCAGUGAAACCACAUGCCCUUUCAAUCCUCUUCCCAGGCAAAUAAAUCCAAGUAAUAUUGAGGAGUGGAAGUAUACCAAGGGUAUUUGCAAACAAAUUGAAGGAUAGCAGCAAGGAGAACCCCUGAAUUCCAUCUGUCCCAUGCAGCCACUCUGCUCAGAUGUUUCAGGUGCUCAGAACAUCUCACACCCAGCUCUAAGAACAUAGCAGCAACGGGUUCCCAUUCCCAGCCCAUUGCUCUGGAGAGCCAUACAUCGCAAAUCCCUGGAAUUAGCUGUGGCUGCUGAUGUAUAGCUGUUUCUCUCCUGUAGCUAUGCCAGAUUGAUAGUACUUUGCUCUUUCUUCCUGGUCCCACUACAUGGCAGGCUCCCAGGAGGAAGGAAUGAAAGGGCCCUGAUCACAGAUUUCUCCUGAGCAGCAAACCCUUGAUAUGCAGGCUCUCCAAGCUGCAGAGGGUUUGUCCAUGCCCAUACAAGAAAUAAUCAAGAGAGAAAAAAAAUAAAAUCAGUGUAUGAUUAUAACCAGGCUUGGCCAAGGCAACAUGGGACAGAAUUAAGUCUCAUCUGAAAGGCAGAUCAUGUCUCUGAUAUACAUAUAUAUAUAUAUUUCUCCCCCCCCCCUUUUGAACUUAUGGCAAUAAUUACAUAAUGAAAGAGGGGGAAAAAAAAACCUAAUAAAAAAACCUAAAAAACAAAUUAAAAAUCCAAAUCAACAAAAGCAAAAAGCCAGGCACCCAAGAUAUCUUUGCAGGAGCAGCUCCUCUUGAAUUAGAACUCUGGAAUUGUUCUGCAAUCAACUCAGCGGACAGUAACCAUCUGUUUAUGGAAAAAAAUGUUAAUGGCCCCCAAUCAUAAUCAAACAGGCAACUGCUUUAAGUACCUUUUAACUAACACUAAAUUACAAUGGAACAGCUCUGCAAGUAUUUCUGACAUCCACAUGCGCAUCAGCAGUGCCAGCACUUUGAUCAGGGCUAUUAGAGCAAAUAUCAAAUAAACUGAUAGCAAUGGGA